CGCUGUGAAGAUGCAGUGUACCCGCGGCAAGACGGAAAGACCCCGUGAACCUUUACUAUAGCUUGACACUGAACAUUGAGCCUUGAUGUGUAGGAUAGGUGGGAGGCUUUGAAGUGUGGACGCCAGUCUGCAUGGAGCCGACCUUGAAAUACCACCCUUUAAUGUUUGAUGUUCUAACGUGGACCCGUGAUCCGGGUUGCGGACAGUGUCUGGUGGGUAGUUUGACUGGGGCGGUCUCCUCCUAAAGAGUAACGGAGGAGCACGAAGGUUGGCUAAUCCUGGUCGGACAUCAGGAGGUUAGUGCAAUGGCAUAAGCCAGCUUGACUGCGAGCGUGACGGCGCGAGCAGGUGCGAAAGCAGGUCAUAGUGAUCCGGUGGUUCUGAAUGGAAGGGCCAUCGCUCAACGGAUAAAAGGUACUCCGGGGAUAACAGGCUGAUACCGCCCAAGAGUUCAUAUCGACGGCGGUGUUUGGCACCUCGAUGUCGGCUCAUCACAUCCUGGGGCUGAAGUAGGUCCCAAGGGUAUGGCUGUUCGCCAUUUAAAGUGGUACGCGAGCUGGGUUUAGAACGUCGUGAGACAGUUCGGUCCCUAUCUGCCGUGGGCGCUGGAGAACUGAGGGGGGCUGCUCCUAGUACGAGAGGACCGGAGUGGACGCAUCACUGGUGUUCGGGUUGUCAUGCCAAUGGCACUGCCCGGUAGCUAAAUGCGGAAGAGAUAAGUGCUGAAAGCAUCUAAGCACGAAACUUGCCCCGAGAUGAGUUCUCCCUGAGACUUAGAGUCUCCUGAAGGAACGUUGAAGACGACGACGUUGAUAGGCCGGGUGUGUAAGCGCAGCGAUGCGUUGAGCUAACCGGUACUAAUGAACCGUGAGGCUUAACCUUACAACGCCGAAG
rnacentral:rRNA from 1 species